rnacentral:lncRNA from 1 species
AACAGAUACAACAACACAUCCUUCAACAGUGACAUCAACUGCUGCAGGAACUACUACUGCAGGAGUUUCCACAACAGCGCCACAGACGACAACUACUGCAGUACCUGUUGUGAGUGCUUCUUCAACCUCUAUUAAAAGCACCACUGUCAGUACAGCCACAACAUCCACAACACCAACAGCUACAACAACAGGGCCCUCAACUACCACAACAACUGCUGCUGGAACAUCCACCACCAGUGGAAUAUUUAUCACAGCAGUGCCACAAACACAAACGUCUUCUUAUGCCUCAGUCACUGAAUCUUCAACAGCCUUCGGAAGUACAACAUCCAUACCAGGUCCUGCUACUAGUGGAGCAGUUACCAUGACAUCACCACCAACGUUUAUUUCAUUCUCUCCAUCAUCAAAUGUCUCUGAGAGCACAUCUGUUAGUACCAUUGAAACAUCCGCAACAACAAAAGGAUUCUCUGCACUUAAAUCAGAAACUUCUGUUUUUACUUCAGCAACUCCCUAUUCUACCUUUAACACUACGACUGGUAGCACAGCUGGAACAUCAACAAAUUCAUUUGCCUCAACCACUAAUAUAACCACUCUCUCAACCACUAAUGCAACAACAACAAGACCCUUGACAUCUACAUUUAUAGUGCCUACGACUACAACCACAAAAUUUGUACCUGUGUAUCUAACAGCUCUGGUGUUCCGCUCUUUUGACACAUUUAUAGUUGAACUCAAUGAUUCAAACUCGCAGUCCUUCAAGUCAAGAGCUGAGUUUGUCAGAUCUCAGCUUGAACCAAUCUACAGAGCAAAAUAUCCUUCCUUCAUCAGAGUGAUUGUCUUACGCUUCAGUCCUGGGUCAAUCAUCACGGAUACACAACUAGUUUUUAACUCCACACAAGCUGUUCCAACCGUUCAAGAGAUUGCGAACUCUCUCUUGACAGCAGUGGAAACAGGAGGUGUCGAUCCACUGAAAAUAAUCCCUACAACAGUUUCAGUCAAUGGUUCAGUUAUAGCUACGACUGUAGCUGCAACUACAACUACAACUAAAACUGCAGCUGCAACUACAGCUUCAAGUGGACUGAAGAUUGAAUCCAGCCUGCUCCAAGCAACAUGGCUUAUUAUUAUGGCAAAAAUAUUACAGCUUUUCCUAUAGAUCCCUUAACAAUGAAUGCAAGUUGUGAGAAAUGCAAGGCAUGUGCAAGGCACGAAUUAUACUUGCAAAUUAUAAUAUUUUUGUAUGUGUAUUAGUAUGUGUAUUAUGUGUUAUUUAGUAUUGUAGCACACUCUCAAAAUAAUGGCAAUGGCAAUAUAAACACAAAGAAUUAAAAAAAAAUGUAUAUAUCAAUCAGCAGGUUGUAGAAAUCAAUCAAAAAAGGAAAAUUUCAUCAGUAUUUUAAAUGUAAUGCUUUUGUUCACCUGUCUGCAGGUUAAAGACUAUACUGUAGUUCUCUUUUUUCUAGUAUGUGUUAACAGUGC